ensembl:snRNA U2 U2 spliceosomal RNA
GCAGCUUCUAUGCCUUUUGGCUAAGAUCAAGCGUAGCAUCUAUUCUUAUCAGUUUAAUAUCUGAUACGUCCUCCACCGGGGGACUACAUAUUAAGUGGAUUUUUAGAACAGGGAGUUGGCAAAAGGGGCUUGCUCUUUCCACUCCACUAAUCGACCCAGUAUUGCAGUGCCUCUGGGAGCGGUGCACUUUCU